rnacentral:rRNA from 1 species
UCGGGAAUUUUGGGCAAUGGGCGAAAGCCUGACCCAGCAACGCCGCGUGAAGGAUGAAGUAUUUCGGUAUGUAAACUUCGAAAGAAUAGGAAGAAUAAAUGACGGUACUAUUUAUAAGGUCCGGCUAACUACGUGCCAGCAGCCGCGGUAAUACGUAGGGACCAAGCGUUGUUCGGAUUUACUGGGCAUAAAGGGCGCGUAGGCGGCAAUUCAAGUCAUCUGUGAAAUCUCCGGGCUUAACUCGGAACGGUCAGAUGAUACUGCUUUGCUAGAGUGCAGAAGGGGCAAUCGGAAUUCUUGGUGUAGCGGUGAAAUGCGUAGAUAUCAAGAGGAACACCUGAGGUGAAGACGGGUUGCUGGGCUGACACUGACGCUGAGGCGCGAAAGCCAGGGGAGCAAACGGGAUUAGAUACCCUGGUAGUCCCUGAGCGGGCUGGCAAGGCGCAU